rnacentral:lncRNA from 1 species
AAAAUUCGAACUCGAAAUGUCAUAAAACUAUUGCACAAAGUUUACUAACAUGAAAUUACAUAUUCCUUGAAAUUUUGAGCCAAAACCUUACAAAAUUGCUCAAGAUAUAGCUCAAGAGACAAACACUAGUAAAUCGGUUUACUUACUACCCUUAGAUUGCAUGUGCUGACUUCAAAAUCCAAUAACUCCUUCAUCCCAACUUGGAAUCCAGUAAGCAGUGUAUGAAAAGUAUAGCCGCAAAAGUUUUCUCUCCAGUCGCGGUCGCCGAUCCUCAAUUGCCAUCCGUAUGCGUGCGUUAUGCCCAAAAGAGUAACAGUAGGUCCAAAACUAAUACCUUAACUUUGAGCGCCUAUAACUUCUUCAUAAAAAUCCCAAAU